rnacentral:rRNA from 1 species
UACAGAGGUCUCAAGCGUUGUUUCGGAUUCAUUGGGCGUAAAGGGUGCGUAGGUGGCGUCGUAAGUCGGGUGUGAAAUUUCGGAGCUUAACUCCGAAACUGCAUUCGAUACUGCGGUGCUUGAGGACUGGAGAGGAGACUGGAAUUUACGGUGUAGCAGUGAAAUGCGUAGAGAUCGUAAGGAAGACCAGUGGCGAAGGCGGGUCUCUGGACAAGUUCCUGACGCUGGAGGCA